GAUGAACGCUGGCGGCGUGCCUAAUACAUGCAAGUCGAGCGAACGGACGAGAAGCUUGCUUCUCUGAUGUUAGCGGCGGACGGGUGAGUAACACGUGGAUAACCUACCUAUAAGACUGGGAUAACUUCGGGAAACCGGAGCUAAUACCGGAUAAUAUUUUGAACCGCAUGGUUCAAAAGUGAAAGACGGUCUUGCUGUCACUUAUAGAUGGAUCCGCGCUGCAUUAGCUAGUUGGUAAGGUAACGGCUUACCAAGGCAACGAUGCAUAGCCGACCCGAGAGGGUGGUCGGCCACACUGGAACUGAGACACGGUCCAGACUCCUACGGGAGGCCGCAGUAGGGAAUCUUCCGGAAAGGGCGAAAGCCUGACGGAGCAACGCCGCGUGAGUGAUGAAGGUCUUCGGAUCGUAAAACUCUGUUAUUAGGGAAGAACAUAUGUGUAAGUAACUGUGCACAUCUUGACGGUACCUAAUCAGAAAGCCACGGCUAACUACGUG
rnacentral:rRNA from 1 species